UACGUAGGGUGCGAGCGUUAAUCGGAAUUACUGGGCGUAAAGCGUGCGCAGGCGGUUUUGUAAGCCAGAUGUGAAAUCCCCGGGCUUAACCUGGGAAUGGCAUUUGGGACUGCAAGGCUGGAGUGCGGCAGAGGAGACUGGAAUUCCUGGUGUAGCAGUGAAAUGCGCAGAUAUCAGGAGGAACACCAAUGGCGAAGGCAGCUCGCUGGGACGGUACUGACGCUGAGGCGCGAAAGCGUGGGGAGCAAACAGG
rnacentral:rRNA from 1 species